UAAGACGAACCGUGCGAACGUUGUUCGGAAUCACUGGGCUUAAAGGGCGCGUAGGCGGGCAUCUAAGUCUAUGGUGAAAUCCUCCAGCUCAACUGGAGAACGGCCGUGGAUACUGGGUGCCUCGAGCGAGGUAGGGGCGUGCGGAACAGAUGGUGGAGCGGUGAAAUGCGUUGAUAUCAUCUGGAACUCCGGUGGCGAAGGCGGCACGCUGGACCUCUUCUGACGCUGAGGCGCGAAAGCCAGGGGAGCGAACGGGAUUAGAUACCCCGGUAGUCCUGGCCCUAAACGAUGGGCACUAGGUAGUAGCCUGCACAUGGGGUUACUGCCGGAGCGAAAGUGCUAAGUGCCCCGCCUGGGGAGUAUGGUCGCAAGGCUG
rnacentral:rRNA from 1 species